GCGAACGCUGGCGGCAGGCCUAACACCUGCAAGUCGAACGAACUCUUCGGAGUUAGUGGCGGACGGGUGAGUAACACGUGGGAACGUGCCUUUAGGUUCGGAAUAACUCAGGGAAACUUGUGCUAAUACCGAAUGUGCCCUUCGGGGGAAAGAUUUAUCGCCUUUAGAGCGGCCCGCGUCUGAUUAGCUAGUUGGUGAGGUAAAGGCUCACCAAGGCGACGAUCAGUAGCUGGUCUGAGAGGAUGAUCAGCCACAUUGGGACUGAGACACGGCCCAAACUCCUACGGGAGGCAGCAGUGGGGAAUCUUGCGCAAUGGGCGAAAGCCUGACGCAGCCAUGCCGCGUGAAUGAUGAAGGUCUUAGGAUUGUAAAAUUCUUUCACCGGGGACGAUAAUGACGGUACCCGGAGAAGAAGCCCCGGCUAACUUCGUG
rnacentral:rRNA from 1 species